rnacentral:tRNA from 1 species
GGGCGAGUGGCGGAAUGGUAGACGCGCUGGACUCAAAAUCCAGUGAUCGCAAGGUUGUGAGGGUUCAAGUCCCUCCUUGCCCACCA